UUCUUUCAUUUUUAAUGGAAAAAUCUAUAUUUUGAGUUAGUUUCUGAAUAAAAAGAAGUUUUGAUUACAUUUCUAGCGAGAAAUAUAUACUUUAUUUUCAUAAUAUUCACUCAGUGAAUUUACAUAAUCAUCGCUUGCUUGAUUUUACGCAGAUUUUCCAGAUCUCGCCAGAAUAAUGUGAAACUGAUACGUUUUGGUUGCUAUGGACACUGCCAGGGCUCGUCACAUGACGUCUUUUAAAGACUUUAUUAAAACCGCGUUCAGCUACAGGUAAAACAACAUUCAGAGGUGAUUUUAACAACGCUCCACGGCGCGUGAGAGUAAGCAUUUUAAGCGUUUUCUGAUCAUGUAGGUAAGUGCUUUUAUUAGACGUGAUGCAUGCUGGGUGGGAAAUUAUUUUUUAUCAAAGACUCGUUGAUGGUAAUUAAUAUAGAUAUGAAUAUACAUUUUGCAACCCUGUAUCACAUGAAAUACGUUCUGAGGAAACUAUUUUGCAAAUCGCAAUUACGUUAACGUUACAUGCCAACAUAUAAGCAGUGCUAUUACGUUGGUCCUUAACCUAAUAUGACCCGUCGCCAUGGACACAAGGGGUCGGAUAUCUAAAGUUAAAUAUUUUUAACUUACGCGUGAAAUGGUUGAUUUUAAAAAUAUAUAUAUUCUAAGUAAACAACAACAGCCCAGGUUUAGUAAACAUUUUUUUAUUGAAACUAUAAAUAAAUAUUCUGCAUCCAUUUUAGGUGUGCCACUGUGGGUGGCUCCCGCACACCCCCGUGGCUAGUACGCCCCUGCCGUGACCCAAAUCUCGUUCGCACAUCAUCGCGAUGUUUAUCAUCAAUUUACAAACCUCGCCAGUCGCCUCAUCUUUUUUCUUCACAUACAUCUCAUACUCCUCCAUCUACACGCUCCACAACAUUUAAACCAACGGCUCUUUUAAGAGCUAUCACUUGCAAAAGCUCUCCUCACUCACUCACUCACUCACUCUCCAACUCACUCACUCACUCUCCAACUCACUCACUCAUGCUGCGUCCGAAACCGCCUACUACAUACUAUAUAGUACGCGAAAAGCAGUAGGCGAAGCGAGUAGUAUGUCCGAAUACAUAGUAUUCGAAAAACAGUAUGCGAAAAGUACCCGGAUGACCUACUACUUCCGGUUAGAUUUUGCAGUGUGCAUACGAUGGACGCUACACUAUCCCAUGAUGCCCCGGACGAGGAGUUAUCCAACGAAGAAGAAGAGGCACGCGGCUGUUUUCGCGCUGAAAUGACAUGACGUGAUGACGACGUAUGUCACGUGAUAUAGCAACAUGGCGGAUGUAGUAUGUCCGAAUCUCAUUCAUACUACCAGGAUUCAUACUAUACAGUACCUACUGUUUUAACGCCAAGUAAGUAGGUACUUCAUCUAAUUCAGUACCUACUAUACAGUAUGCGGUUUCGGACGCAGCCUCACUCUCCAACUCAUUCUCCAACUCACUCACUCACUCACUCACUCACUCUCCUAUAGGGCUGUGCAAAAAAAUCGUCUGCAAUUCUCAUGCGUGUUUCAUCAGUAAAGCCGGUUCCGUGAUUAGAAGUAAAUCGCCAUCAGCUGCUUUCAGAUGGAGCGGCAUUUAUUACACAGACACGUAGUUCACCAAAAAGCUAGGCAAAAUUGCAUAGAUUAUCGGAGUCGAUUUUCCUCGAUUUGAACCCGAUUUUGCCUAGCUUCUCUGUGAACUACGUGUCUGUGUAAUAAAUGCCGCUCCAUCUGAUAGCAGCUGAUGGCGAUUUACUUCUAAUCUAAACGGAACCGGCUUUACUGAUGAAACACGCAUGAGAAUUGCAGACGAUUUUUUUUUGCACAGCCCUACUCUCCUACGCUUUCACACUCACACGCGCGCACACACACACACACACACACACACACACACUCUCUCACUCUCUGUUUGUCCCUCUUUCAAUUUGUUUUGCCUAUUUCUAUUUGCAUUCUUCAUUCUUUCAAUAUGGCAUCUUCAGGUUUUGACCAGUUAUGUCAGGAAGCUGCAACUAUUUCAAAGCAUCUUGAAAUGAAAGCUGACAAUGCUGAACUUGAAGCAGCUACCAGAGAGGCUGAAGAAAUUCUACAAAUGUUCAAUCCUCCACUGCUGAAAAAGAAGACCAAACGAGUGAUUUCCUGGACUCAACAGACACAGUGAACUUUGCACUGCAUUUCAAAGAGGAUGCCAGAGGUACCGGAAGGCUCCCCUACCAAUCCCUGGUAAAUCAUGGCAUGACAGUUAAAGUUGCAGGACUGCCCAACAGCCUCAAAAAGCCAUCCUAUUAUGGAAGGAACCAGUUGGAGGCCAUUUUGCAAGCUGCUGAGGAGAUUUCAUUUGAAAUCAAUGCAGCACAAUGCAACUCCACUGACAAAGCAGAAGGAAUGUUAGAGGCGAUGGACGCAGAAGAGCUGGAAGAACAGUCCUCAGAAACAGCCAUCGCUGUAGCUAUCGUGAUGACUGCAGAUUAAGAUGGAGGCCAUUUGUGCUGUGUCUGCCGCAUCCUUUUCGAUGACAGCAAGAAGAAUGCUUCAGAGAAGUGGCGUUCAUGGUCACAGUGCACAGUGUGCCAAUCAUGGUCACACACUGCAUGUCAAGACACAAUGCAAACAGCCUGUAGCGAUGCAUCAGUGAUAGAAAACAUGCUAGUUACACAAAAUGUUUUAUGUUUUAACUAUGAGUUGUUUUUAUUUUGUUCAUGACCCCAUCCCUACAAACACACACACAUAUAUUUUUUUUUUUUAAGUAUUAGGUGCAAUUUAAUAUUUUUCAUGCAAAUGUAUUGUAAUGAUUACACUUAUAAGAAUAAAACAGAUUUUAAAUUCACUCUAAUUUUUAUUUAUUGUUGUCAUUUGUUGGCACCAUAAGUGUGGUCCCUUUACCUGGGACAUGUGGGGACCAAUUAAUAUCUAUUGUACUGAAUUUAGGCCACAUGUUGUAAAUGAUAAGUAGCCUAUUGUUUCAUCUUUUAUCAAUGCUUCGGUAUGGUUGGGUGUUGGCAAGGACCUCACCAUACUUUUCAAUACAGUGAGUCAAAGAUCGAUUUCAUGUUAUGAUUAAAUACUUUACAUAACUUUAACAACUUUUUCGCAGUCUUGCUGUCACUGAGAGGUAUUUGGCAAAUUUGAUAUUGAAAAGUUGGUUUAUGUCAGAGCAGUAGUGAUACUUGUGGAUACUUUGAUAUACAACUGAACAGUACAAUUUAAAUAUAAUGGUUGCUAUGAACGAUGAUGAGGAUGAUGAUGUUAUGUGUAUCUGCUUUAUCAAAGUGAUUUUCCUCCAUCAUACAGAUGAAGUUUAAGCAAAUCUCUAUUACCACAUUUAAUGUUAUGAAAAGAACCAUCAUGACAGAAAUAUAUAUUUAUAUAUGAAUUGAAAGUAAUAAAAAAAAAUGAGACCAGAAACCCACCAUGAGUUAAAAAACUGGCUAUGCUCAGUUGUAAGGACUUUUUUGAAAUGAUUAAGUAAUUUGACAUUAUGUGUCAUUUUGUGUUUUAAAUUAA